UUUCACCACUUUACUUCCUUAAUAAACUUACUUUUGCUUUGCACUGUGGACUUGCCCUGAAUUCUUUCUUGUGGGAGAUCGAAGAACUCUCUCUUGGUGUCCGGAUCGGGACUCCUUUCCGGUAACAUCACUAUGUUGCCCAGGCUGGUCUUGAACUCCUGGCCUCAAACCAUCCUAUAGAUUCGACCUCCGAAAGUGCUGGGGUUACAGGCAUAGCCACUGUGCCCAGCUGGAACAAUCUUUAUGAAGGUGAAUUAAAGCUGUGAGGCAUGAGACCAGAAAAGAUGCACCAGGAGUAAUGGAUUUUGGUGGAGAAUGAGCCACAGAAACGCGAUCAUGAGGCAAAUGGUGGGGCCUAACCCUGCCUUCUCAGUCCUCGGGAUGGGAGACCGGGCUAGAGAAGAGAAGGCUGGUGUGAAAACGCCGGGAGGGCCCUCAUCGAGCCUCAUUCUCAGCCACAUCGUAAGGAUUUAGAGGCCCUAAGCACUGACGACGCUGUGGUGCCACAAAAAUAGACAAGCAGGGCAUGUGCGCUGAAGCUGGAAGAGGCUUCUUCCAUAUUUUCAUUGCAAAAUCAGAACUUUGACCCGCUUUGCAGAUAACCCUGCAUUUUACCGAGAUGUCAAAGCAGGAAGUGCUUGGCUGGAACAUCUGCCGACAGCCUCAUCUCUUUCUGCAAGAUCAUGAUGUUCUGCAUGCUCCUGUGGCCUCUUAUUUCACGUUGCUCUCCCUGCAAAUUUUGAAACAACUUUAAAGAUGAAUAAAAAGCAGCUCAGCAAGUGAAUCCCAGAUCCCGGGCCAAACUCCGACGCCCACGAGCUCGCUCAGAAUUGGCUCAGGCUGCAAUCACUUCUCUUCUCCUACCUCCACACCAUUCCCUGAUGGUGGACAGCUUCUCCUUUGAGAACCACACCUGCCUUUUCAGACAAAAGGAGACACCACCCACCCUCCUGCUGAGGGCUGCUCCCCUGGGGCCUUCUCAGCACACCUCUCUCUCUCUAGGUCAAAAAACAAAUUUCACAUGCUGAAUUUUUACCUUUUUUAAAGUGACUCCGAAUUUUGGCACCAGCAAUUAAUUCAACACUUGAAUAAGAUUUGAAAACCUCACAACAAAUCACAAAUAUAUUAUGGGUCCUGUU
rnacentral:lncRNA from 10 species